AACGCUAGCUACAGGCUUAACACAUGCAAGUCGAGGGGCAGCAUAAAAGUAGCAAUACUUUGGUGGCGACCGGCGCACGGGUGAGUAACGCGUAUGCAACCUACCUAUCAGAGGGGGAUAACCCGGCGAAAGUCGGACUAAUACCGCAUAAAACAGGGGCACCGCAUGGUGAUAUUUGUUAAAAAUUUAUUGCUGAUAGAUGGGCAUGCGUUCCAUUAGGUAGUUGGAGAGGUAACGGCUCACCAAGCCCACGAUGGAUAGGGGAACUGAGAGGUUGGUCCCCCACACUGGUACUGAGACACGGACCAGACUCCUACGGGAGGCAGCAGUGAGGAGUAUUGGUCAAUGGGCGAGAGCCUGAACCAGCCAAGUCGCGUGAAGGAAGAAGGAUCUAUGGUUCGUAAACUUCUUUUGCAGGGGAAUAAAGUGCAGGACGUGUCCUGUUUUGUAUGUACCCUGAGAAUAAGGAUCGGCUAACUCCGUGCCAGCAGCCGCGGUAAUACGGAGGAUCCGAGCGUUAUCCGGAUUUAUUGGGUUUAAAGGGUGCGUAGGUGGUUUAAUAAGUCAGCGGUGAAAGUUUGCAGCUUAACUGUAAAAAUGCCGUUGAAACUGUUAGACUUGAGUGUAAAUGAGGUAGGCGGAAUGCGUGGUGUAGCGGUGAAAUGCUUAGAUAUCACGAAGAACUCCGAUUG
rnacentral:rRNA from 1 species